rnacentral:rRNA from 1 species
UGAGGAACAUGACUUUCGGCGGGGGAUAGCCGGCCCAACGGCCGGGUAAUACCGCGUACGACCUUUUGGGGACAUCCCCGAUUGGUGAAAGCAGCAAUGCGCCGAAAGAGUGCCUCGCGGCCUAUCAGCUAGUUGGUGGGGUAAUGGCUCACCAAGGCGACGACGGGUAGCUGGUCCGAGAGGAUGACCAGCCACAUUGGGACUGAGACACGGCCCAGACUCCUACGGGAGGCAG